CCUACGGGAGGCAGCAGUGAGGAAUAUUGGUCAAUGGACGAGAGUCUGAACCAGCCACGUAGCGUGAAGGAUGACUGCCCUAUGGGUUGUAAACUUCUUUUAUAAAGGAAUAAAACGAGGCACGUGUGCCUUUUUGCAUGGACUUUAUGAAUAAGGAUCGGCUAACUCCGUGCCAGCAGCCGCGGUAAUACGGAGGAUCCGAGCGUUAUCCGGAUUUAUUGGGUUUAAAGGGAGCGUAGAUGGGUUGUUAAGUCAGUUGUGAAAGUUUGCGGCUCAACCGUAAAAUUGCAAUUGAUACUGGCAGUCUUGAGUACAGGAGAGGUAGGCGGAAUUCGUGGUGUAGCGGUGAAAUGCUUAGAUAUCACGAAGAACCCCGAUUGCGAAGGCAGCUUACUAGACUGUUACUGACAUUGAUGCUCGAAAGUGUGGGGAUCAAACAGGAUUAGAUACCCCAGUAGUC
rnacentral:rRNA from 1 species